rnacentral:rRNA from 1 species
UACGGAGGGUGCAAGCGUUAUCCGGAUUCACUGGGUUUAAAGGGUGCGUAGGUGGGAUGGUAAGUCAGUGGUGAAAUCUCCAAGCUUAACUUGGAACUGCCGUUGAUACUAUCAUUCUUGAAUCUCGUGGAGGUAAGCGGAAUAAUGUCAUGUAGCGGUGAAAUGCUUAGAUAUGACAUAGAACACCGAUAGCGAAGGCAGCUUGCUACACGAGUAUUGACACUGAGGCACGAAAGCGUGGGGAUCAAACAGG